UAAAAUUGGCUUAUAAGUAGGUUUUCCCGAAUUCUAAAGAGCUACAUUCUUACUGUCUUGUUGUGGCAUAAACAUUCCAAAUAAGGGUUUAGUAAUGAAACGUUAUUCGUUUUUGAAUAUAUCUGGUUACCUUAGAAACUAAUUUAAUUAGGUUGAUUAUUUGAAAUUUUCUAAGUACGUAGAACUUUUUUUUAUUCAGGUAAUAGGCUCGGGGAUGAGCUUGGGCUUAGAUUUUUAUAAUAUUAUAAAUAUUUCAUGGUGUUUAGUAUUAGAAGUUUACUUAAUUUGUAGGGUGUUACAACUAUCUAUGGUUCAGUCUUAUUUAUAUAACAUUUAAAUUUUUUAUGGGGUUAUGGAAUUAAAUUUAGAGUUUUCAGUAAAAAUGAUAAGAUUAGUAUAUAUUGUUGUGUGGGUUUUAAGCAAUGCAAGGUUGGUCUAAGGAACUCGGCAAUUAAACUCCUUACCUGUUUAUUAAAAACAUGGCUUCUUGAUUAUGAUUUGAGGUCUAGCCUGCCCACUGAGUUUUAAAGGGCCGCGGUACUCU
rnacentral:rRNA from 1 species